rnacentral:rRNA from 1 species
CCUACGGGUGGCAGCAGUGGGGAAUAUUGGACAAUGGGCGAAAGCCUGAUCCAGCCAUGCCGCGUGUGUGAAGAAGGCCUUCGGGUUGUAAAGCACUUUCAGUGGGGAAGAAAGCCUUGGGGCUAAUACCCUCGAGGAAGGACAUCACCCACAGAAGAAGCACCGGCUAACUCCGUGCCAGCAGCCGCGGUAAUACGGAGGGUGCGAGCGUUAAUCGGAAUUACUGGGCGUAAAGCGCGCGUAGGCGGUCUGAUAAGCCGGUUGUGAAAGCCCCGGGCUCAACCUGAGAACGGCAUCCGGAACUGUCAGGCUAGAGUGCAGGAGAGGAAGGUAGAAUUCCCGGUGUAGCGGUGAAAUGCGUAGAGAUCGGGAGGAAUACCAGUGGCGAAGGCGGCCUUCUGGACUGACACUGACGCUGAGGUGCGAAAGCGUGGGUAGCAAACAGGAUUAGAUACCCGUGUAGUC